rnacentral:rRNA from 1 species
ACUCCUACGGGAGGCAGCAGUCGAGAGGCUUCGGCAAUGGGGGAAACCCUGACCGAGCGACGCCGCGUGGGUGAUGAAGUCCUUCGGGAUGUAAAACCCUGUCAUACGGGAUGAAAAACCGAUCGGUUAAUAGCCUUUCAGUUUGACAGUACUGUAAGAGGAAGCUCCGGCUAACUCCGUGCCAGCAGCCGCGGUAAUACGGGGGGAGCGAGCGUUAUUCGGAUUCACUGGGCGUAAAGGGUUCGUAGGCGGUCAAGUAAGUCAGGGGUGAAAUCUAACGGCUUAACCGUUAAACUGCCCUUGAAACCGCUUGACUUGAGGACAUGAGAGGAAAGCGGAAUUCUUGGUGUAGCGGUGAAAUGCGUGGAUAUCAAGAGGAACACCAGUGGCGAAGGCGGCUUUCUGGCAUGUUACUGACGCUGAGGAACGAAAGUCAGGGGAGCGAACGGGAUUAGAUACCCCGGUAGUCCUGACUGUAAACGAUGGGCACUAGGUGUGGGAGGUAUCGACCCCUUCCGUGCCGCAGCUAACGCAUUAAGUGCCCCGCCUGGGGAGUACGGCCGCAAGGUUGAAACUCWAAUGAAUUGACGGA